rnacentral:pre_miRNA from 1 species
AUUUUGUAAGGUACUCCCUCCGUCCCAUAAUAUAAGGGAUUUUGGGUCGAUGCGUCACAUACACCAAAAUCCCUUAUAUUAUGGGAGAGAGGGAGUAUUAUGCAAUU